AUGCUUGGGAAUAGAGAUAGAGCAGCCAUCGAAAAAUCUAAGCACGAGGACAUACCAGUGCCAGCAGGGUGAUUCUUCAGUUUGUUAGGCUCAGUGGAGGUGAUGGAAAGACAACAACUGAUGCAUUCAUGGGAGGCUUCUCUCAUGCAAGAUGAUAGCAUUUUUUUCUUAAGUUCCCCUCUCUCUUCUUCCCUGUGGUGUUCUUUGUUAUCGAUCUUGUUUGGUGGUCACUUGAGGUAUGUAUUUGUUGUAGGAUAUUUUGUUUCAUGGACGGGCCCGGUGGCUGCUAUCAAGAAGCUGUCAUGGAACAGGUCAGAUUACUCAACUGGUCUUUCUUUUUACUUGUUCCGAAAUCUUCAAGCUUGCCCUUAUUCUUAUGUAAGAUGACCUGCCAUAUUUUAUAUCUUUUGUAAAGGGCUUUUAAUGGUCCUUCCAUUGUUUAUGGACAGUUACGUGGUUGGUCUUCUAAAUGAGAGAGACUCAUCAUCUUUAACAAAAAGCAAUAAUCUGUUGGUGUUAGGCUUCAACCACGCGAGGACAGGAGAGCCUUUAAAAUAGCCAUCAGGAUGGGUCCCACUGGAGGCUUGGAACCUGUCAACGGAUGCCUGAUAUCGUUCAUGGGUUAGGUUGCUGUCUUGUCACUUUAAUUGCUAAUAUUGACUUGAUUUAGAGAUUAAUCUGGUGCUGCUGGAUAUGGAUAAAGCUAAGCAAACAUGAUCUCUACUUUGCUGGCUUGUGCUUGGUAAAUAGCUGCAUAAUUCUCUCAACCAUAACAAGAGCCGUGAUUGGUUCUAGUCUGAAUAGACCAGUGGAUUCAACUUUUGAUAUAGAUCUAUUGAAAGUUUUAAUACUUAACCCUGUGUAUUCUUCCUUCAAAUUAUUUUCUAUGCUGUGAAUUAUGGUUCUGAAUAUAUUAUCUCAAAAAGAAAAAAAAACUGUUCUGAAUAUUAGAGACCAUGCAAAAUUAGUAUUAGGCAAUCGAAAAGUUUACAGUAUGGAUGGACCGCGUGUUCUUUUUAAUUAUCUGAGUGCUUGUGCCGUACUCCUUCUUCGGAUGCUUCCUUUUGGCAGAUGAUGCUACGUUUCUUUGCCUCUGAUAUUGGACAGGAUUGUCCUUAGUCACAAGAGAAAGGUGAAAAUAACAAGGUGGUGGGCCGAAGCCUUCGCUAUUCAUCAACUCCAGAAUACGGAGAGCUGAGUCAUCUGU
rnacentral:lncRNA from 1 species